rnacentral:lncRNA from 1 species
CCUUUUGGAGUCUAUAUGGUAUCCAUCGUUACUUCGACUGGCAUCUUCCUUUAUCAGCAGGUUUCACAGCACUGAGGUCUGCUCUAUGACUGUAGCAUCUCCUUUGCUAAAACCUAAAGCAGCAUGACUGUGAUUUAGGGCAAACAAGACUCCAAAAUGUCACUACUGCUGCAGUAUUGAGGUGGUAAAAAAUAUGCCUCACGGAAUCAACCUGGAGACUGAGGAUCAUAUGAAAGACUGGAAACAAGCUCCCUCAGGAAAACCAUCCUCUUUCCAUAGGACAGGAACACACGACUUGUCAGAAGAGCCUAGAUUCACAGUGUAUCAUUCAGUAUCCCAUUUCUGACUACCAAAAGCAUUGGAUACCUCAGAAGAAGAUUUUUUACAGCUUCUCAUUUAGUGUGGAACUGAAGGACAUUUCCAGGACAACUGAAUCUGACAUCGCCAUCAUUUUCCCAAAGACAUUCAUGUGGAUGCCAUUAACAGACAGUAAUUCAAGACUGGAGUACUUGAGUAACCUAGCUGAUCUUGGAAACAGAAAGGGAGG